UACGUAGGGGGCAAGCGUUGUCCGGAUUCAUUGGGCGUAAAGAGCGUGUAGGCGGCCAGGUAGGUCGGUUGUGAAAUCUGGAGGCUCAACCUUCAGAGGUCGACCGAAACCAUCUGGCUAGAGUCCGGGAGAGGAGAGUGGAAUUCCUGGUGUAGCGGUGAAAUGCGCAGAUAUCAGGAAGAACACCCGUGGCGAAAGCGGCUCUCUGGAACGGUACUGACGCUGAGACGCGAAAGCGUGGGGAGCGAACAGG
rnacentral:rRNA from 1 species